UAUGAUAGGGUUAAAAACAACCAAAACUAUAUGUCAAACAAAAGAUGAGGGGCCUAAGUUGUAAGAAAUUGAAAUUAUAUUACUAAUUUUAAUAAAAAUCAAAACCAAACACCCAUUAAGGAUGUCUGGUCGUACAGGAAAGGGCAGGGGCGACUCCCCACUCUUCAAAACCCUAGAACUUCACUAAUCUUGCAAAUUGAAGGUCCAAUUCAGUCCAAAAUCGAAAUUUAAGCAUGGAUUAUUGAUCCUCAUCACAAGAGGAUUAAAAGGUAUGUAAAAUUUAAUGAAAAAUCUCUAGUUGGAUUUCUAGGUAAACUUAGAAAUCUGAAAUUUAUGGUUGCAUGUUCGUUAUAUGAUGAAAUUAGGAAUGAUUUUAUGUCUAGGAGUAAACCCUAGUCAUUUACUUGUUGAAUUGAUGUUCCUAAUUGUGAAUUCAUGAUCACCCGAUUAUGUGCUAAAUGGGUUUUGUAGAAACAUGAUGAACACUAGAAUCAUAAUGGUUAAAUUGUGUUAAUAGAACUCACUGAAGUUAGAUUUGAAGUUAAUCUCUUUCAAGUACAAACAAACGACAAAAGUUAAGCGAUUUUUGGAAGAGUGGAAGAUGGAUAAGGAAGAUUUCUUGGAUGACAAUUGAAGACCAAUGUUUUUUUUUGGUAUGCCACUAAGAGAACUAGAGGGUAUUUUCAGCCUUGUACUUGUAUUUUGUUGAUAUUUAUAAAAAUCACCGGGGUAACCCUU
rnacentral:lncRNA from 1 species